CUGCGUGAAGGUGGAGUCGCUAGUAAUCGCGGAUCAGCAACGCCGCGGUGAAUGCGUUCCCGGGCCUUGUACACACCGCCCGUCAAGUCAUGAAAGUGGGCAGCACCCGAAGACGGUGGCCUAACCCUUGUGGGGGGAGCCGUCUAAGGUGAGGCUCGUGAUUGGGACUAAGUCGUAACAAGGUAAC
rnacentral:rRNA from 1 species